rnacentral:misc_RNA from 1 species
GAAUUGCGAUACGUAAUGUGAAUUGCAGAAUUCAGUGAAUCAUCGAAUCUUUGAACGCACCUUGCGCCCUUUGGUAUUCCGAAGGGCAUGCCUGUUUGAGUGUCAUUAAAUUCUCAACUUCAAUAACUUUGUUGUCAUUGAAGCUUGGACUUUGGAGGUUAUUGCAGGCAUAUAAUGUCAGCUCCUCUUAAAUGCAUUAGCAGAAUUUGUUAAGGAUCGGCUUUGGUUUGAUAAUAUAUCUAUGCCGUCGCUGUGAACUUCUAGUGUUGAGCUUCUAAUUGUCCUUUAUGGACUGUCUCUUUAUGAGGCAUACACUUUUAAGCUUGACCUCAAAUCAGGUAGGAUUACCCGCUGAACUUAA